CAGUGUUACAGCUCUUUUAGAAUUUGUCUAGCAGGUCUUCCGGUCUCUACCGGAAGCACCCCC
ensembl:snRNA U7 U7 small nuclear RNA